UAGAGAUGAUCAGACAUGUGUGUGUUCGAUCUGCACUGAGACAGACCACAAGAACCACAACACUGUUCCUAUAGAAGAGGAGAGUGAAGAGAAGAAGACUGAACUGAUGAAGACACAGAAAGACGUGCAGCUGAUGAUCCAGAACACAAUCAAGAAGAUUCAAGACAUCAAACACUCAGCAGAAGUCAGAAAAGGAUUUUAUACUGAACUGCUGGAGAUGAUGG